rnacentral:rRNA from 1 species
ACUCAAAUGAAUAGACGGGGACCCGCACAAGCAGCGGAGCAUGUGGUUUAAUUCGAAGCAACGCGAAGAACCUUACCAGGGCUUGACAUCCCCCUGACGGGUCCGUAACGGGGCCUUCCCUUCGGGGCAGGGGAGACAGGUGGUGCAUGGUUGUCGUCAGCUCGUGUCGUGAGAUGUUGGGUUAAGUCCCGCAACGAGCGCAACCCUUGUCAUUAGUUGCCAGCAUGAGAGAUGGGCACUCUAGUGAGACUGCCGGGGAUAACUCGGAGGAAGGUGGGGAUGACGUCAAAUCAUCAUGCCCCUUAUGUUCUGGGCUACACACGUGCUACAAUGGCCGGUACAAAGAGAGGCAAGGCGGUGACGCGGAGCAAAUCUCAAAAACCGGUCCCAGUUCGGAUUGCAGGCUGCAACCCGCCUGCAUGAAGUCGGAGUUGCUAGUAAUCGUGAAUCAGCAUGUCACGGUGAAUGCGUUCCCGGGUCUUGUACACACCGCCCGU